GGGUUGUGAGGUUAAGCGACUAAGCGUACACGGUGGAUGCCCUGGCAGUCAGAGGCGAUGAAGGACGUGCUAAUCUGCGAAAAGCGUCGGUAAGGUGAUAUGAACCGUUAUAACCGGCGAUGUCCGAAUGGGGAAACCCAGUGCAAUUCGUUGCACUAUCGUUAACUGAAUACAUAGGUUAACGAGGCGAACCGGGGGAACUGAAACAUCUAAGUACCCCGAGGAAAAGAAAUCAACCGAGAUUCCCCCAGUAGCGGCGAGCGAACGGGGAGCAGCCCAGAGUCUGAAUCAGCUUGUGUGUUAGUGGAACGGUCUGGAAAGUCCGACGGUACAGGGUGAUAGUCCCGUACACCAAAAUGCACAGGCUGUGAACUCGAAGAGUAGGGCGGGACACGUGGUAUCCUGUCUGAAUAUGGGGACCAUCCUCCAAGGCUAAAUACUCCUGACUGACCGAUAGUGAACCAGUACCGUGAGGGAAAGGCGAAAAGAACCCCGGCGAGGGGAGUGAAAAGAACCUGAAACCGUGUACGUACAAGCAGUGGGAGCACCUUCGGGUGUGACUGCGUACCUUUGUAUAAUGGGUCAGCGACUUAUAUUCUGUAGCAAGGUUAACCGUAUAGGGAGCCGCAGGGAAACCGAGUCUUAACUGGGCGUUAAGUUGCAGGGUAUAGACCCGAAACCCGGUGAUCAGCCAUGGGCAGGUUGAAGGUUGGGUAACACUAACUGGAGGACCGAACCGACUAAUGUUGAAAAAUUAGCGGAUGACUUGUGGCUGGGGUGAAAGGCCAAUCAAACCGGGAGAUAGCUGGUUCUCCCGAAAGCUAUUUAGGUAGCGCCUCGUGAACUCAUCUUCGGGGUAGAGCACUGUUUCGGCUAGGGGUCAUCCCGACUUACCAACCCGAUGCAAACUACGAAUACCGAAGAAUGUUAUCACGGGAGACACACGGCGGGUGCUAACGUCCGUCGUGAAGAGGGAAACAACCCAGACCGCCAGCUAAGGUCCCAAAGUCAUGGUUAAGUGGGAAACGAUGUGGGAAGGCACAGACAGCCGUGAUGUUGGCUUAGAAGCAGCCAUCAUUUAAAGAAAGCGUAAUAGCUCACUGGUCGAGUCGGCCUGCGCGGAAGAUGUAACGGGGCUAAACCAUGCACCGAAGCUGCGGCAGCGACACUAUGUGUUGUUGGGUAGGGGAGCGUUCUGUAAGCCUGCGAAGGUGUGCUGUGAGGCAUGCUGGAGGUAUCAGAAGUGCGAAUGCUGACAUAAGUAACGAUAAAGCGGGUGAAAAGCCCGCUCGCCGGAAGACCAAGGGUUCCUGUCCAACGUUAAUCGGGGCAGGGUGAGUCGACCCUAAGGCGAGGCCGAAAGGCGUAGUCGAUGGGAAACAGGUUAAUAUUCCUGUACUUGGUGUUACUGCGAAGGGGACGGAGAAGGCUAUGUUAGCCGGGCGACGGUUGUCCCGGUUUAAGCAUGUAGGCUGAUUGUCCGUGCAAAUCCGGAUAAUCAAGGCUGAGGUGUGAUGACGAGGCACUACGGUGCUGAAGUAACAAAUGCCCUGCUUCCGUGAAAAGCCUCUAAGCAUCAGGUAACAUCAAAUCGUACCCCAAACCGACACAGGUGGUCAGGUAGAGAAUACCAAGGCGCUUGAGAGAACUCGGGUGAAGGAACUAGGCAAAAUGGUGCCGUAACUUCGGGAGAAGGCACGCUGGUGUGUAGGUGAAGUCCCUGCGGAUGGAGCUGAGACCAGUCGAAGAUACCAGCUGGCUGCAACUGUUUAUUAAAAACACAGCACUGUGCAAACACGAAAGUGGACGUAUACGGUGUGACGCCUGCCCGGUGCCGGAAGGUUAAUUGAUGGGGUUAUCCGUAAGGAGAAGCUCUUGAUCGAAGCCCCGGUAAACGGCGGCCGUAACUAUAACGGUCCUAAGGUAGCGAAAUUCCUUGUCGGGUAAGUUCCGACCUGCACGAAUGGCGUAAUGAUGGCCAGGCUGUCUCCACCCGAGACUCAGUGAAAUUGAACUCGCUGUGAAGAUGCAGUGUACCCGCGGCAAGACGGAAAGACCCCGUGAACCUUUACUAUAGCUUGACACUGAACAUUGAGCCUUGAUGUGUAGGAUAGGUGGGAGGCUUUGAAGCGUGGACGCCAGUCUGCGUGGAGCCAACCUUGAAAUACCACCCUUUAAUGUUUGAUGUUCUAACGUUGGCCCCUGACCGGGGUUGCGGACAGUGUCUGGUGGGUAGUUUGACUGGGGCGGUCUCCUCCCAAAGCGUAACGGAGGAGCACGAAGGUUAGCUAAUCCUGGUCGGACAUCAGGAGGUUAGUGCAAUGGCAUAAGCUAGCUUGACUGCGAGCGUGACGGCGCGAGCAGGUGCGAAAGCAGGUCAUAGUGAUCCGGUGGUUCUGAAUGGAAGGGCCAUCGCUCAACGGAUAAAAGGUACUCCGGGGAUAACAGGCUGAUACCGCCCAAGAGUUCAUAUCGACGGCGGUGUUUGGCACCUCGAUGUCGGCUCAUCACAUCCUGGGGCUGAAGUAGGUCCCAAGGGUAUGGCUGUUCGCCAUUUAAAGUGGUACGCGAGCUGGGUUUAGAACGUCGUGAGACAGUUCGGUCCCUAUCUGCCGUGGGCGCUGGAGAAUUGAGGGGCUGCUCCUAGUACGAGAGGACCGGAGUGGACGCAUCACUGGUGUUCGGGUUGUCAUGCCAAUGGCACUGCCCGGUAGCUAAAUGCGGAAGAGAUAAGUGCUGAAAGCAUCUAAGCACGAAACUUGCCCCGAGAUGAGUUCUCCCUGAGACUUUAAGUCUCCUGAAGGAACGUUAAAGACGAUGACGUUGAUAGGCCGGGUGUGUAAGCGCAGCGAUGCGUUGAGCUAACCGGUACUAAUGAACCGUGAGGCUUAACCUUACAACGCCGAAG
rnacentral:rRNA from 1 species